rnacentral:rRNA from 1 species
AUACGAAGGGGGCUAGCGUUGUUCGGAAUUACUGGGCGUAAAGCGCGCGUAGGCGGAUUGGUCAGUUAGGGGUGAAAUCCCAGGGCUUAACCCUGGAACUGCCUCUAAUACUGCCAGUCUUGAGUUCGGGAGAGGUGAGUGGAAUUCCUAGUGUAGAGGUGAAUUUCGUAGAUAUUAGGAAGAACACCAGUGGCGAAGGCGGCUCACUGGCCCGAUACUGACGCUGAGGCGCGAAAGCGUGGGGAGCAAACAGGAUUAGAUACCCUAGUAGUCC